rnacentral:rRNA from 1 species
AUGAGGACAGAGCCAGUGCAUUGGGCUAGGGCAUUUUUUCCAUAUGGAUCAAACUGUGAGUCAGUGGAUAACAACCUAUGUGAGUCUUUCAACAAUGCCAUCAUAUAAUCAAGGUUUUAUCCCAUAAUAUCACAGCAAGAGAUGAUAAGGAAGAAGAUGUAUGUCAGAAUUCAGGAACAGAGAAGCAAAAGUGAUAAGUGGCAUGGAACAGUUUGCCCUAACAUUUUUAAGAAACUCCAGGGCAACAUCAAGAGAACUCAGUUUUGUGAGGUGCUCUGGAAUGGCAAGGAUGGAUUUGAGGUCAAGCAUUUGACUGGCAGAGGAAGGAGGUACACAGUGAACCUUGACAAGAAGACAUGCUCAUGUGGAUAUCUACAGUUGGCAGGCCUUCCUUGUUGUCAUGCAAUUUGUGCUAUAUACAAAAGUGGUAGAAAAAUAGAAGAAUUCAUUGACCCCUGCUACUACAUUGAGACUUUCAAGAAAAUAUAUGAGCAUUGUCUCCAGCCUGUGGAAGGUGAAGAAUGUUGGCCAGUUUCUCAGAACCCUAGGCCAGUGGCACCUGGCUAUAUUGCAAUGCCAGGAGCAAGGAAGAAAAACAAUGAUAGAAGGAGAGAGGAGGGGGAAGCACCCAAAGGAAAGAAACUUAGCAAGCAUUGA